rnacentral:rRNA from 1 species
UACGUAGGGGGCAAGCGUUGUCCGGAGUUACUGGGCGUAAAGCGCACGCAGGCGGUCUUUUAAGUUUGGAGUGACAGUUGGUGGCUUAACUGCCAAAGUGCUUCGAAAACUGAAAGACUUGAGGGCUUCAGAGGGACACGGAAUUCCGGGUGGAGUGGUGAAAUGCGUAGAGAUGUGGAGGAACACCAGUGGCGAAGGCGGCUUGCUGGGCUGUAACUGACACUGAGGAACGAAAGCUAGGGUAGCGAAUGGG